rnacentral:rRNA from 1 species
GAUAUUUGACAAUGGGGGCAACCCUGAUCCAGCCAUGUUGCGUGUGUUAAGAAGGGCUUCGGCUUGUAAAGCUCUUUAAGUUGGGAGGAAGGGCUUUAGGUUAAUACCCUGAAGUUUGGCCGUUAACAACAGAAUAAGCACCGGCUCACUCUGUGCGAGCAGCCGCGGUAAUACAGAGGGUGCAAGCGUUAAUCGGAAUUACUGGGCGUAAAGCGCGCGUAGGUGGUUCAGUAAGAUGGGUGUGAAAUCCCCGGGCUUAACCUGGGAACUGCUUUCAUAACUGCUGAGCUAGAGUACGGUAGAGGGUAGUGGAAUUUCCUGUGUAGCGGUGAAAUGCGUAGAUAUAGGAAGGAACACCAGUGGCGAAGGCGACUACCUGGACUGAUACUGACACUGAGGUGCGAAAGCGUGGGGAGCAAAC